CAUACAUUCACACACAUAUAUAUGUACAUAUAAAUAUAAAAAGGAUUAAUAAAUGCAGGCAUAUAUCUAGAAAGCUCUCAGUAUUAAGCGAACUUGGUUAACUGCAUCAAACAAUCAGAUAUCAAUAAAUUCAAAUAGAAUUAACAUCCA